AUCAGUAGCUUGUCCACAGAUUUGCCAGAUUCAUUAAUCCUUGUUCUUUCUCUGCCUCAGGCUGUGGCACUCCAGAAACUUGGGAGCAGAGGGGCAGCACACAAACUGGGCACUGUGUGCAGGCAAAUGAGGCACACCUCAGCCCUGGUAAAUACGAGAAGGGCAUGCCACGGUCCUCUCUGAUCCACAGGUCAGAAAAUUAAGGUCAGUAACUCUUUGGCCUACGCAAGAUCCCAGUGAGAUGAGGGAGAAAGGAGGCAGUCGGCCUUAUCAUUUCGCAGACCAGAAAAUAGAGACCGAGGGAGGCUACACCUGCAGAGGGAAAGAUGAAAUGAAGCCUCUCUCCGCUGGUGUUCCACAUGCUUUCCAUUUGACCGGGAUUCCCCAAACUUGGCUGAUCAUCAGCAUCACUGAGGAGCAAGGGAUAAAAAUUGCAAUAUGAAAAGAUAAUUCUUCCCGACUGUCAGAACCCAUUAGAAUUUCUACGGCCUGAUGCUCUUUAAGAACAAGAAGGACAAUUAAGAAAACAACACCACCACCUGGUUCCCAUUUAAAAAAGAAAAAUCGGACUGGAGAUUUGCAAUGCUGACCUCCUGAGACGGAAAGGUGAAUAAGAGGUAUUGGUUUGUGAAUGAUGCAACCAAUUUUCAGAGAAAUGCAAUGUUUGCUAAUAAGGGCAAAUUGUGUUUUAACCUCUUCUUAGGCUGUACUUGGAAGUUUUGAA